AAAUUGAAGAGUUUGAUCAUGGCUCAGAUUGAACGCUGGCGGCAGGCCUAACACAUGCAAGUCGAACGGUAACAGGAAGCAGCUUGCUGCUUCGCUGACGAGUGGCGGACGGGUGAGUAAUGUCUGGGAAACUGCCUGAUGGAGGGGGAUAACUACUGGAAACGGUAGCUAAUACCGCAUAAUGUCGCAAGACCAAAGAGGGGGACCUUCGGGCCUCUUGCCAUCGGAUGUGCCCAGAUGGGAUUAGCUUGUUGGUGGGGUAACGGCUCACCAAGGC
rnacentral:rRNA from 2 species